rnacentral:misc_RNA from 1 species
CCGAAUCGUCGACACGAGUUGUUGCUGGCCCUCAAACCGGGGCAUGUGCACGCUCUGUUUGCAUCCACCCACACCUGUGCGCCCUCUGUAGCUCUGCGGUCCGGGGGACCCCCCUCUUCCGUCCGCGGUUCUACGUCUUACACACACUGUGACACGGUUUUAUGGAAUGUACGCAGCGUUUAACGCAAUACAAUA